rnacentral:rRNA from 1 species
GCCUGAUGCAGCGACGCCGCGUGAGGGAUGACGGCCUUCGGGUUGUAAACCUCUUUCAGUAGGGAAGAAGCGAAAGUGACGGUACCUGCAGAAGAAGCGCCGGCUAACUACGUGCCAGCAGCCGCGGUAAUACGUAGGGCGCAAGCGUUAUCCGGAAUUAUUGGGCGUAAAGAGCUCGUAGGCGGUUUGUCGCGUCUGCCGUGAAAGUCCGGGGCUCAACUCCGGAUCUGCGGUGGGUACGGGCAGACUAGAGUGAUGUAGGGGAGACUGGAAUUCCUGGUGUAGCGGUGAAAUGCGCAGAUAUCAGGAGGAACACCGAUGGCGAAGGCAGGUCUCUGGGCAUUAACUGACGCUGAGGAGCGAAAGCAUGGGGAGCGAACAGGAUUAGAUACCCUGGUAGUCCAUGCCGUAAACGUUGGGCACUAGGUGUGGGGGACAUUCCACGUUUUCCGCGCCGUAGCUAGCGCAUUAAGUGCCCCGCCUGGGGAGUACGGCCGCAA